AUGCCAGGAAAAAGUUGCAUAGAUCCCCCAGCAGAUCUUAUAUCAAAGUUUCAGUCAUGUUUCAUGGACUUUUUUUGGGACAAGCUGCACUGGAUACCAAAACAUGUAUUGAACCUUCCUAAAGAAGAAAGAGGACUUGGACUGAUGAAUCUACAAAGUCGAACAGCUGCUUUCAGAAUUGAGUUCACACAAAGACUUUUAACAGCCUCAGAGAUCUCAGACUGGAGGAAGGUACCCUUCUCUACACUGAGAGGGUCUGAAGGACUGGGAUUGGAAAGAGCCUCACUGUGUCUAGAUCCUCAGAAGCUGAAACUCUCCAAGUUUCCUGGUUUUUAUCGAAAUCUUUUUAAAGUGUGGGCCUUGUUCAAGAUUCCAGAGGAGAGGACUGUGAACUCUGUGUUCUGGCUGUUGCACGAGACAUUAAUAUUUGGCUCACGUUUGGCCUCGUCCAGUGAACUGAGUUACUUUGUGACAGAAGAGAAUCUUCUCAGCUCUGGAGCUAACUUUAUAGACGUGAGUUCAGUGACUGAGAAGCUGAGAUCUACUCGAUUGGUCUCCAGAGCACUUGACAAGUGGAGGACCGCUUCGUCUGAGAAAGAUCUGAAACUGUUAUUGGGUUACUCACUGGGGUUUAUUAAUCCAGAUUCUGAUUCUGUUCCAGACUUGUAUUUAACUCUCAUAAUGGACAGUUGUGGAGGCUGUUUCUUAGAAGUUAACAGUUUGAUUGUGAUGGGGUCAGAUAUUACUUCUGGAAAGGUCUGUAACAAAAUCUGUGUAAAAAUCUUUAAUAAGAAGGUCUCGGAUAAAAUAAUUGAUACACCUUGGUGUGGGAUGCUUCAUCUGAAAGAGAGUGAAACACCUGAGUGGAGAGUAUUGUAUAAGUCAGCAUUAUCUAAGAGAAUUGGAGAUGUUGCUAUUGCAGUGAACACUUUUGUUUCUGUAAUUAACUCCGAUGUUCAUCAAAACUGUUCUUUUUGUUCACAAAAGGAAACUGUGUACCAUGCAUUUAUGCAGUGUUCUAGACUGACACCCUUAUUUACUGUUUUAAAUCACAUUUUUAAUUGCUUUAAUGAGUGUUUUUCUAUGAAGGUGUUUAUUUGUGGCUUUAAAUCUCAUAACAGUCGUAAGUAUCAGUGUCAGUUGUUUAAUUUUAUAUUGGGACAUGCAAAAAUGGCAAUUUACACUACAAGAAAAGAAAAAAAUUAUCAUGUGGUUUGCAAUGAUUUAAAUGCAGUGUUUACUAACGCUGUUAAAUCCAGAAUCUUUAUAGAUUUUAAUUAUUUUUAUAAUAAUUAA
ensembl:lncRNA